GGGGUUGUAGCUCAGUGGUAGAACACUUGCCUCAAACACAUGAAGCCCUGGGUUCAAUUCUUAGCACCA
rnacentral:tRNA from 1 species